CAAAAUUUCUCCGUUCCGGAGAGGGCUGAGUGUUGCCUGAAAACGAGGUAA
rnacentral:ncRNA from 1 species